rnacentral:miRNA from 1 species
AAGAUGUUCUUAAUGUAGGUUUC